GAUGAACGCUGGCGACGUGGAUAAGGCAUGCAAGUCGAACGGAACUAAUCACACGGAAGUAAAUUGAAAGGUCGAGUAGCAAUACACAAUCGGACAGUUUAUGGAAGAGUGACAGUUUAGUGGCAGACGAGGUAGUAAUAUAUAGGAACAUUUCCAAAAGUCAGGAAUAACUAUCCGAAAGGAUAGCUAAUACUUGAUAUCCCGCAAGGGGAAAGAUUUAUCGCUUUUGGGUUGGCCUGUACGGUAUCAGCUAGUUGGUAAGGUAAAAGCUUACCAAGGCUAUGACGCCUAGGAGAGGUGAGAGCCUGACCUCCACCGAUGGGACUGAGACACGGCCCAUACACCUACGGGUGGCUGCAGUCGAGAAUAUUCCGCAAUGGACGCAAGUCUGACGGAGCGACGUCGCGUGACUGAUGAAGUGCUUCGGUAUGUAAAAGUCUUUUAUGUGGGAGGAACGAUGACGUUACCACAUGAAUAAGGGGUUGCCAAACUCGUG
rnacentral:rRNA from 1 species